rnacentral:rRNA from 1 species
UAAUACCGCAUACGAUCUAAGGAUGAAAUGGGGGGAGUCUUCGGACCUCAUGCUCAUGGAGUGGCCGGAUAUCUGAUUAGCUAGUUGGUGAGGUAAAGGCUCACCAAGGCGACGAUCAGUAGCUGGUUUGAGAGAACGACCAGCCACACUGGAACUGAGACACGGUCCAGACUCCUACGGGAGGCAGCAGUGGGGAAUUUUGGACAAUGGGGGCAACCCUGAUCCAGCAAUGCCGCGUGAGUGAAGAAGGCCUUCGGGUUGUAAAGCUCUUUUGUCAGGGAAGAAACGGUGAGUUCUAAUACAGCUUGCUAAUGACGGUACCUGAAGAAUAAGCACCGGCUAACUACGUG